rnacentral:lncRNA from 1 species
GAUUUACCGAGUGUCGUAUUUAUAGGUUCGCUCUAAGGAAGGCUUAAUAUGUUAAGGAUUCUAAGAUAAGCAUAGAUCAAAGUAAUUAUGAAAGCAAUAAUGGAAUCAAAGGUCAUAGCAGGUGAUAAACAUUUAUAUGUAGAAUAGUGAUCCAUUACAAUCUAGGCAUGGCAUAUGGGCUAAGGAAUAAAAAGAGACUAAAAGAAUGAAUUGAAUCAAAGAAUAAACAAACAACCUAUUGGAGCAGGUGUGGUCCUAGAUAC